UAGUUGUUUUUGUAGUUGAGGAA
rnacentral:tRNA from 1 species